AAAAGAGAGAGAAGAAAAAGGAAAGAAAAUGAAAUUUAUUACCUUAUUUGGUUGAAAAUAAAAAAGGCGGAAGACAUGUGAUAGUAAUACAUAGGCUUCAAAAUUUGAGCAAGAAAGUGCGAAUUUCCAUGGGUCCUAACUCAACAACAAAAGUUGAACUAUCGACAGGACCACCUCUAACUGGUGAGGAUUGAUCUCCAUUCUCACCCUCUACUUUCCAUGUCAUCCUCUUCAUCUCUGACUUGUAUUGGUUUGCUGAUAAGCUCAUUUCCUUCAGCUCCCUUAUCGUUUUUCCAGUAAACAUCUUCUUGAGUUCAACUUUAGCCAGUGCUGAAUAGUUGGCAUCUUCUCCCUCCUCAUAUAGAUGUGCCAGACGAAGGAGUACACUUCCAUCAUCCAGCUCCUGAAGGGUAAUCAAAGCAACAUUCAAAGGCAAGCUAUAAUCGGAGUCCAUGACAGUUCCUUUGGUCAAAUGAGAUGCCUUCCAAGUCUCCUCUUUCUAAACAGUAACCAUUUUUACCAAGUUAAGUUCUAAGGCAAUUCAUUCUCAAUGCAAGUAAAAUGAAGCCCUACCUCAUGGGUGAAUGCUAAAAGAAGUGGUGAAUAAACUUCUUGGCCAAUUGUUCGACGCCAGACUGAUCCAGCUCCUAGCUGGUUGAUGCUCAGAUAAUAAUUUCCUCUAACCUGAAUGAAGAUGUCCAUUGUAGGAAAAAAGGCUGAGGUGAAGCAGUAGAUAUCCUCAAACAUUUAGAGAUGGUCCUUCAUUACAUGUUAUGGGUAUUAUAUAUAAAAUUCAAAAGGAGCAUUCACGACUGAGAAGAACUUUCUGAUGAGUUCAACAAUGCAGACCAUACAAAAGUAACAAGCAUGCGAUCACAAGGUAGGAUAAGAAUUACAUGACAAGCAUUUAUCAGGAAUGCUCAUGAAGAAAGCUAAUAUUGUCAUAGGGUAACAUACCGUUAGUCCCUCACAUACAUUUUCAACACAAACACUUUCAUCAAGGGCUUCACCAACUCCCAAGUUAUCAAGGAUUGUACGCCUCAUGCAGGAAAAGAAGCAAUGAUCAGUUUAACAUGUCCACACACACACAUAUAUAAUUUGUGAAUGCUUGAAAGCAAAACAAUGUAAUUAUUUGGACCUAUGAAGCAUUAGCUCUACUUGACCAUCUUCAAUGCUGGCUCCUCCGGUGGCACGAUCAACCAAGACUGACAAUUCAUAUUUAUUAUCCGUUAUAUAAAUUCCGAGGUUGAGUGGAUAAUAGUUUCCUGCUUGAGGUUGAUUAACUGAUAGAUUCCAGUCAGCUCUAUAGUCACGAAUCCGCUUUAGAAAGUCCCUUCCAUUAGAAUCAGUAUAGAAAACCUUGUCCGUGACCAUGUUUGCUGUCAUUCGUGUGAUGACCUCUUUUCCAAGACUAUCUUCUGUGGGAAUCGGACCGAUUGUAUAUUCAAUUUCAGCAUGCUCUUUAUCUUUGUAAAGUCUUGUGACCUGGUAGAUCCAUGAAUUAAAUUGUUGAUGGACCUCAUCAACUACAGAUCCACGAUAGACCUUCAAGGGCACUGAUCUAGCAACAAUAUUGGGUGGGGCCCCAUUAGGCCGAAAAAUGUAUGCACCAGAAGGUUGCUGGGGAUCAGAGCUCGAACCAUACCAAAGAUAGCUUUGCUGAAGAGGUACAUCAACACCAGUUUUAGAAUUGUGUAUUCGUUUGAGUUGGCCAGUAGUAGAGGAAAAGGACAUUUUCAAAUUUCCAGGUCCAAUUUCAAUGGUAUCAUUCUGUGGACUUCCUGUUACAGAGAGCCCAUUUCUCCUUUUUCCUAUCCCAGGCGCAUUAGCAAUGAAGUAAGUACUCCACCCAAGUGGUGGCACAGACACUGGAAAGACAAGCCAGUAUUGAGGAACUUGAUUGGAUGACAGUCCUAAGUAGGCCUUCAAAUAGAAGUUUCUUAAGUUGCUUGUAACAUUAUCCAUGGUCACAUAUUGAGACUCAAUGGUUUUGCCCGAGGAAUCAGAAACAACAAGAUUGGCAUCAUUAACUGGUAUCCUAACAAUUUCCGUGCGGUUCCAUCCAAGAGGGUUGUACGCUACUAUAACCAAACUCUUUCCAUCUCCAGCUUCCUCUGUUGGCGGACAGUAACUGAUAUUUAACAAUUGGCACUGGCUAAAGGUCAAUACAGUUGCUGCACAUUGAUCUCUGGAUUUAUUGCUAACCAAGCAUGAAAGAGCAGAACUUCCAGUGGCUUCCGCCUCAGAUGCUCCAAUAGCUAGGCGUUUUGCAUAGUCAUUUGUAGUAUGUUGUUUAGCAGUUCCAGUGACAGCAUCAUGGUGCUGUGCUAUUCCUAAAGCAUCUCCAAGGCUAUAAGUGCUGGGACCAGUGGAUUUUUUCCCAACAAAGAAUUCAAGUUGCCGUGUAGCCAAAUAAUAUCCACUCAGCUGCCUAACAUAUCGCUUCAGGCCUGGGCGACUAGUAAAAAAUCCAGUCCAAUAGGCGUUUUCCCGAUCUGCAUACGGAAAAUAAUCAUCAGUUUUCAGUGGCCAUGAUUCAUUUGCUGCAUUUUUCACAUCAGUGUAAAUAGAUGGUGUAGAGUAUAAUGCAUUCACUCGACCAUCCUUGUUAACAUAGUGAAUCAGUUUGUCCAUUUGCUUGAACCAAGACUCAGCAUAUUGGUACUGGAAAUCAUCACCCAUAGUCCACAUAAUAUGGUUCGUUCUUGUUACAUUGGCUUGGGUUAUAGCAGCAUUUAUGAAAUCAUUAACCCGCUGCUCAACAUUGUAGUCAAAUAGAAGAGGAUUAUCCUGAACGGGCACAAAAUCAUUACACACUUCAAAAUCGAAACCAGGUGGAGGACUAUAAUGUACAGGGAAAGCAUUGGCAAAAAUCUGAGAGGAUGAACCAAAAGUUUUGGACCCACGCCAUAUGACCUCUAGAGAUUUAUCUACUUUGCGCUUUGCUCUGUCCUGGUAAUCAAUCCUUGCAAAAUGAACAGAAUUGAAUCCAAGCUCAGCCCCAAGCAGGUAAGCUUGCACAGCAGAGUGUCCAAAUGGAUCAAUUUGCCAUCCAGCACGAGGAGUCUUGUUGAACUGUUGCUUUAUUGCAUGAUGACCAAGUGUUGUUUGGUCAAUCAUGUCUAUGUAAUGGCAUGUUGCCUCAUCAUGCAUACACCAGCCACCAUUUAUGAAUUCCAACUGGCCAGCAUCUACAAGUUUCCUCACUUGCUCUUGUAUUUCCUCGCUUUGUUCUAGCCACCAUCGUUGGAAAAAUGCCAU
rnacentral:misc_RNA from 1 species